GCCCAGACUCCUACGGGAGGCAGCAGUGGGGAAUAUUGCACAAUGGGCGCAAGCCUGAUGCAGCGACGCCGCGUGCGGGAUGACGGCCUUCGGGUUGUAAACCGCUUUUGACUGGGAGCAAGCCCUUCGGGGUGAGUGUACCUUUCGAAUAAGCACCGGCUAACUACGUGCCAGCAGCCGCGGUAAUACGUAGGGUGCAAGCGUUAUCCGGAAUUAUUGGGCGUAAAGGGCUCGUAGGCGGUUCGUCGCGUCCGGUGUGAAAGUCCAUCGCUUAACGGUGGAUCCGCGCCGGGUACGGGCGGGCUUGAGUGCGGUAGGGGAGACUGGAAUUCCCGGUGUAACGGUGGAAUGUGUAGAUAUCGGGAAGAACACCAAUGGCGAAGGCAGGUCUCUGGGCCGUCACUGACGCUGAGGCGCGAAAGCGUGGGGAGCGAACAGGAUUAGAUACCCUGGUAGUCCACGCCGUAAACGGUGGAUGCUGGAUGUGGGGACCAUUCCACGGUCUCCGUGUCGGAGCCAACGCGUUAAGCAUCCCGCCUGGGGAGUACGGCCGCAAGGCUAAAACUCAAAGAAAUUGACGGGGGCCCGCACAAGCGGCGGAGCAUGCGGAUUAAUUCGAUGCAACGCGAAGAACCUUACCUGGGCUUGACAUGUUCCCGACAGCCGUAGAGAUACGGUCUCCCUUCGGGGCGGGUUCACAGGUGGUGCAUGGUCGUCGUCAGCUCGUGUCGUGAGAUGUUGGGUUAAGUCCCGCAACGAGCGCAACCCU
rnacentral:rRNA from 1 species